GCCCUGGGAGAGCUCACUUGGUAGAGCAUGAGACUCUUAAUCUCGGGUUCGUGGGUUUCCACACCUUGGGCA